CAGGGCGACCAUACCACGUUGAAAGCACCGGUUCUCAUCCGAUCAUCGCAGUUAAGCAACGUUGGCCCCGGUCAGUACAUUAC
rnacentral:rRNA from 1 species